rnacentral:rRNA from 1 species
AUGAACGCUGGCGGCGUGCCUAAUACAUGCAAGUCGAGCGAACGGACGAGAAGCUUGCUUCUCUGAUGUUAGCGGCGGACGGGUGAGUAACACGUGGAUAACCUACCUAUAAGACUGGGAUAACUUCGGGAAACCGGAGCUAAUACCGGAUAAUAUUUUGAACCGCAUGGUUCAAAAGUAAAAGACGGUCUUGCUGUCACUUAUAGAUGGAUCCGCGCUGCAUUAGCUAGUUGGUAAGGUAACGGCUUACCAAGGCAACGAUGCAUAGCCGACCUGAGGGGGUGAUCGGCCACACUGGAACUGAGACACGGUCCAGACUCCUACGGGAGGCAGCAGUAGGGAAUCUUCCGCAAUGGGCGAAAGCCUGACGGAGCAACGCCGCGUGAGUGAUGAAGGUCUUCGGAUCGUAAAACUCUGUUAUUAGGGAAGAACAUAUGUGUAAGUAACUGUGCACAUCUUGACGGUACCUAAUCAGAAAGCCACGGCUAACUACGUG